ACAAAAACAAAAUACCGAGCGGCAAGUUUGAUUAUAGUAUAAGAUAAUAU
rnacentral:guide_RNA from 1 species